GGAGCCUUGGCGCAAUGGUAGCGCGUUGGUUUUCGGUUAAUCUCGAAACGUUCACCAAAGGUUGUGGGUUCGAGCCCCAUGGGCUUCG